rnacentral:rRNA from 1 species
UUCUGGCUCAGGAUGAACGCUAGCGGCAGGCUUAACACAUGCAAGUCGAGGGGCAUCGGGAGUAGCAAUACUUGCCGGCGACCGGCGCAAGGGUGCGUAACGCGUGAGCAACAUGCCCGUAUCAGGGGGAUAAUCCAUGGAAACGUGGUCUAAUACCCCAUAGUAAUUAUGUAAGGCAUCUUAUAUAAUUUAAAGCUUUGGUGGAUACGGAUUGGCUCGCGUGACAUUAGCUGGAUGGUAAGGUAACGGCUUACCAUGGCUACGAUGUCUAGGGGUUCUGAGAGGAAGGUCCCCCACACUGGAACUGAGACACGGUCCAGACUCCUACGGGAGGCAGCAGUGAGGAAUAUUGGACAAUGGAUGGAAAUCUGAUCCAGCCAUGCCGCGUGCCAGGAAGACGGCCCUAUGGGUUGUAAACUGCUUUUGUAUGGGAGCAAUAAGGGCUACGUGUAGUCCGAUGAGAGUACCAUACGAAUAAGCACCGGCUAACUCCGUGCCAGCCGCCGC